AAUCGAUACUUGGUGUGAAUUGCAGAAUCCCGUGAACCAUCGAGUCUUUGAACGCAAGUUGCGCCCCAAGCCUUAGGGCCGAGGGCACGCCUGCCUGGGUGUCACG
rnacentral:rRNA from 1 species